GAGUGGACGGAGAGGACUCGUCACUUGAGUCGAGUCAACUCUUUAAAAGGCAAGGCACUGGGCUCAGGUUGGCACUGGCAGGCAGGAGUGGCAGCAAAGUUAUAACACGCUGGAAGUGGAGCGGUUGAGCAGAAUACGGAUCAUACUCAUUACUCUGCUGCGCUACUGCUCUCUCUUAUUAUGGCAACUUGAACUUUGGCAAGGCAAAACUAUUAUACUGAGUGACAAGUUGACAACUGUUAAAGGAUCAAGUCAUCAUGAAAAAAUGUAUUUCUUCUGCUGCAGCUCCUGCUUCUUCCCCAGCUCCUUCUGCACCGCCAGCACCAGCAGCCACAGAUAAGGUCUACAGCACCUUUCCAACAUUCCAGCAGUGAUAUGCCCUGAAAUAAUACACAUGCCCCAGUUUCCUCCCUCAUUAAUGCAUAACCACAGCCAGUAGGGGACAGCUAAUUCAAUGUCAAUGAUGGACUAGAGCUGCAACAAAGAAUGAAUCCCAAAAGUACAGAAUGAAGACAGGGUUACAGAUCUAGUGAACAUGGACAAGCACAAAGUAAUAUAGAAAAUAUAUUUUUUUAUGGUACCACAUGAAAUAAAGACUUGUGUGAGACAUGAAGGUGCAGGUAAUCUGAAAAGUUUACCAGAACUUCUCUAUUCAAAGAAAAUUGUAUCAGUAGAUGUUAAAUGGGAUAAGACUACACAGGAUGAUGCCAAAAUUAUCUGACUACUGAAAAAGUGUAUUUAUUUGUAUACCUGAUGGAAGUAUUUUUGUCAGAUUAACAAAACUAUGGUAAAAAUUUAACAUGGAUUACCACUCCAAGGACAGUGUGACGGUAGUGUGCGGUGUAAUAUCCAACAGAGCAUCUUAUUAAAAGGAAAAAGUCUACAUGGAAAAUAAGUAGCAAUGUUCCUGAGAGGAGU